UGAGGAAUAUUGCACAAUGGGCGCAAGCCUGAUGCAGCAACGCCGCGUGGGCGAUGAAGGCCUUCGGGUUGUAAAGCCCUUUUCUGAGGGAAGAGGAAGGACGGUACCUCAGGAAUAAGGUUCGGCUAACUACGUGCCAGCAGCCGCGGUAACACGUAGGAACCGAGCGUUAUCCGGAUUCACUGGGCGUAAAGCGCGUGUAGGCGGCUUGACAAGUCGGACGUGAAAGCUCCUGGCUUAACUGGGAGAGGUCGUUCGAGACUGUUAGGCUUGAGGUCGGGAGAGGGACGUGGAAUUCCCGGUGUAGUGGUGGAAUGCGUAGAGAUCGAGAGGAACACCAGUAGCGAAGGCGACGUCCUGGUCCGCACCUGACGCUCAGACGCGAAAGCGUGGGGAGCAAACAG
rnacentral:rRNA from 1 species